UGGGGAAUAUUGGACAAUGGGCGAAAGCCUGAUCCAGCAAUGCCGCGUGAGUGAUGAAGGCCUUAGGGUUGUAAAGCUCUUUUACCAGGGAUGAUAAUGACAGUACCUGGAGAAUAAGCUCCGGCUAACUCCGUGCCAGCAGCCGCGGUAAUACGGAGGGAGCUAGCGUUGUUCGGAAUUACUGGGCGUAAAGCGCGCGUAGGCGGCGUUUCAAGUCAGAGGUGAAAGCCUGGAGCUCAACUCCAGAACUGCCUUUGAAACUAGAACGCUAGAAUCGUGGAGAGGUCAGUGGAAUUCCGAGUGUAGAGGUGAAAUUCGUAGAUAUUCGGAAGAACACCAGUGGCGAAGGCGACUGACUGGACAAGUAUUGACGAUGAGGUGCGAAAGCGUGGGGAGCGAACAGG
rnacentral:rRNA from 1 species